GAACCAGAGAAGUCCAAUUAGGAGACGGUUGUUUCAAGCUCCCGGACAGAAGGGGUCCUGUUUGCUGUAUUCCCUGCAGAAUCCUCCUGCUCGUAACAGAGCAUGCCUCCUGGAAGACACACAAAUAUCCGUUGAUGCUGGGCAUGUUGGAAGCUCUAUUUUUAAAGGGAAGCCAGCUCAUUUUAUAAAGAAGAGGCGAAUCGCUACCCAGGCAGGGUUUGGUGCAGCAAGCUAUUCCAGAAAUUCUUUCCUUCCAAACCCAGUCACUUCUUUGAGCUCCUAAUGUGUGUGUAACUCUGGUGGAAACAGAAAGAUGGGAGGGACUCAGGUUCUUAACUCGAGAUGAGAAAAGGAACCAACUUGCGGCUGACUUUCCUGACCAGCCUCACUGUGCCGCGCUGUCUGCAGCUUCAGUUUCGAGCCCAGUCAUUGCCUUCACAUAUUUCCUGAGUGGAGGAAAGGCCAGGUGGCUCAGUGGUAAAGAAUCUGCCUGCCAGUUCAGGAGAUGCAGGUUUGAUUCCUGAGUUGAGAAGAUCCUUUGAAGGAGGAAAUGGCAGCCCACUCCACUAUACUUGCUUGGAAAAUUCCGCAGAGGAGCCUGGCUGGCUACAGUCCAUGGCGGGUCACAAAGAGUCAGAUGUGAUUGAGCACGCAUGCGUUUCCUGAAUGGAGAAUAAGCUCAUGUCUUAGGAGUCAGAAAGCCCCGGGUUCCAAUCCCAGCCUUGCCACAACCUGCUGUAUGACCUGAGUCAGCCUCUGUCUCUGCUGCAGUCAGAUGCCUUUUCCCCUGCAGAACUCACUGCUAAAGAACACUUCGGUGGAACAGAGAUUUACUUUUCUGAACGCCUUGGAUAACUUUGCUGCCCUGAGGAUCAGGUGGCCUCUGGGUCCCACUCAUAUAAUUGUCUUCACGCUGCUGCUUCCGAAUGGCAUCGCCUUUGUGAGAAUGAAGAGGGAAGAGCCCGCUCAAUGCACAGCAUGUGCUCAAGG
ensembl:lncRNA